ACACCUGGGACAGGUGGGACAGGGGGGACACACCUGGGACAGGGGGGACAGGGAUGGGGGGACACACCUGGGACAGGUGGGACAGGGACAGGUGUGACACAGCCAGGGACACAGGUGACACGCUCGGGGACAGGUGUGACGCUCACACUCACAAGUGUCCCAGGUGUGUCACACGCUCACAGGUGUGUCCCAGGUGUGUCCCAGGUGUCACACGCUCAGGCGUGGCACACUCACAAGUGUCCCAGGUGUGUCACACGCUCACAGGUGUGUCCCAGGUGUGUCCCAGGUGUGUCCCACACUCAGAUGUGUCCCAGGUGUCACACGCUCACAGGUGUGUCACACUCAGGUGUGUCCCACACUCAGGUGUGUCACACUCAGGUGUGUCCCAGGUGUCACACGCUCACAGGUGUGUCACACUCAGGUGUGUCACACUCAGGUGUGUCCCAGGUGUGUCCCAGGUGUGUCACACACUCAGGUGUGUCACACUCAGGUGUGUCCCAGGUGUCACACGCUCACAGGUGUGUCACACUCAGGUGUGUCACACUCAGGUGUGUCCCAGGUGUGUCCCAGGUGUCACACGCUCAGGCAUGGCACACUCAGGUGUGUCACACUCAGGUGUGUCCCAGGUGUCACACGCUCACAGGUGUGUCACACUCAGGUGUGUCACACUCAGGUGUGUCCCAGGUGUGUCCCAGGUGUGUCCCACACUCAGGUGUGUCCCAGG